rnacentral:lncRNA from 1 species
UUUUAUAGAUAAAUAUUGUAGAUUUGGGUUUGUGAUUUAAAAAUUAGGAUAACUAGACUAUUUGUGUAAAUAUGAAUACUCUUUAAGAAAUUUUCAUCAAUAUGUUGUAUUUUAAAAUAAUUCUCUUAAAAACUGUUAUUUUUGGAAAGUUUUCAUUUUUAGAGAAAUAAUGUAGAUUUGGGUUUGUGGUUUAAAAAUUAGGACAACAAGAAUAUUUGUGGAUAGAUGAGUAUUCUUUCGGAGUUUUUCAUCAAUAUGUUGUAUUUUAAAAUAAUUCUCUUAAAAACUGUUAUUUUUGGAAAGUUUUCAUUUUUUAGAGAAAUAUUAUAGAUUUGACUUUGUGGUUUAAAAAUUAAGAUAACAAGAAUAUUUGUGGACAAUUGAGUAUUCUUUUAGAAAUUUUCAUCAACAAGUUGUAUUUUAAAUAAUUUUCUUAAGAACUUCUAUUUUUGGAAAGUUUUCAUUUUUAAGAGAAUUAUUGUAGAUUUGGGUUUGAGCUUGGCUGUGGCUCGGUGGUUCCAGUUCAGUGGAGAGCUUAGUGACGUCGAAGCUUGAAGCGACGACCUCCGCGAGUUGCAGCCAUGGCGGAGGAGAGACGUCGGCUCAGGCGUGGUCAAGGCGAAGAAGAAGAAGUCUGAGCUCGAGCACAUCGGAUAGACGCAGCGGCAUGAUGAACCCGCUGGGAAAAGACCCAUGUCCCUGUCCAAUAUCGACUUGGUGGAGCGGGAUGCGAUGGCCGCUGUGGAUGCGAUUUUGAGAUGUUGACCGGUUUAUUCCGGUUUGACCCGGUUUAAUUCAAUUAAACCAGUUCGAGUUUUGCCUCUCUAUAAAUAGAUUUAGACCUAAAAACCUUAUUUUUAUCUCAUUUUCUCUUGAGACUUUGUCUAAACUUAUAAAAGCUUAAAUCUUUCUAUAAUCUAAGGAAGUACUUCAUCUUAUAUUUGUGUUUCUCUUGUUCAUUAACAUGAUUAGCCUUGAUCCUUACAUGAGUUUAAGGUUUCUCAUGGAAAUUAUUGAGUAGACACAUUUUGGAUUCAUGGGUUAAGGUAGAUUAGGGUAAUUAAGCUAGAUCUAAGGUGUUUUAGUAUAGAUCCAUCUUGUUCUUUGCUAGUAGAGUGCUUUUAAUGCAACUUUAGAGUUGACCGCUCUAAAGUUGAGCUCUAGGCAUUUCAUACCCGGAAGAUGUUUGAUGAAAUGCCUGAACCAACUCUCCUAAGCUUUUAGCAUUUUUUACCAAAGGAAUUUGUUGUUAAAGGUGUUAAGAUGGCUAGUAGACUUGAAAUUAAUGAUUACUUAGAUAACAUUCAACCAAAGGAAUUUGAUGCUUGAGUUAUCUUAGUAAAUGAACAUUCAUCUAGGGAUAGAGUUUGUUUAGGAUUGUGUCUAGGUCUAAGGUAGAUAGAUUGAUUGAAAGUUACCACUUUGGAUUGAACCUUGAUCACCUUAUAUCAAUUAUCCUUACCCAUGAAUCCAUCCUUAGCAUUUGAUUUGAGUUCUUGCACUCAUUUCUUGAUUGGAUUUGAGAUCACCUUGUUUAUAUUUCUAGGAUAUUAGCUUGUUACAAAUCAUCCAUCAUCUUGUUUGCUUAGAUUAAAAAAGCUUGUGUAUUCUUGGUGUUAUAGAUCACUAGUUCCUUGUGGAUUCGAUCCUAAAAUGCUACAAUGACAUACCAUUCGAUUGUGGUAUUGUUGGCACAUUAGGUUAAUUGGUGUGUGCUUAAACGCGUAAUCAAAAGUUUUCAUUUUUUUAAGAAAUAUAGUAGAUUUGAGUUUGUGGUUUAAAAAUUAAAAUAACAAGAAUAUUUGUGGAUAAUUGAGUAUUCUUUUAGAAAUUUUCAUCACCAAGUUGUAUUUUUAAAUAAUUUUCUUAAAAACUAAUAUUUUUUUAAAAUUUUCAUUUUACAGAUAAAUAUUGUAGAUUUGGGUUUGUGAUUUAAAAAUUAGGAUAACAAGAAUAUUUGUGGAUAGAUGAGUAUUAUUUAAGAAUUUUUCAUCAAUGUUUUGAAUUUUUAGAUAAUUUUCUUAAAAACUCCUAUUUUUGGAAAGUUUUCAUUUUUUAAAGAAAUAUAAUAGAUUUGAGUUUGUGGUUUAAAAAUAAAGAUAACAAGAAUAUUUGUGGAUAAUUGAGUAUUCUUUUAGAAAUUUUCAUCACCAAGUUGUAUUUUUAAAUAAUUUCUUAAAAACUGCUAUUUUUAGAAAGUUUUCAUUUUAUAGAUAAAUAAGAAAGUUUUCAUCUUAUAGAUAAAUAUUGUAGAUUUGAGUUUGUGAUUUAGAACUUAGGAUAACUAGACUAUUUGUGGAUAGAUGAACACUCUUUAAGAAUUUUUCAUAAAUUUGUUGUAUUUUUAAAUAAUUUUCUUAAAAUUGCUAUUUUUGGAAAGUUUUCAUUUUUUAAAGAAAUAUAGUAGAUUUGAGUUUGUGGUUUAAAAAUUAAGAUAACAAGAAUAUUUGUGGAUAAUUGAGUAUUCUUUUAGAAAAUUUCAUCACCAAGUUGUAUUUUUAAAUAAUUUCUUAAAAACUGCUAUUUUUAGAAAGUUUUCAUUUUAUAGAUAAAUAUUCUAGAUUUGGGUUUGUGAUUUAGAACUUAGGAUAACUAGACUAUUUGUGGAUAGAUGAACACUCUUUAAGAAUUUUUCAUCAAUAGGUUGUAUUUUUAAAAAAACUUCUUAAAACUGCUAUUUUUGGAAAGUUUUCAUUUUAUAGAUAAAUAUUGUAGAUUUGGGUUUGUGAUUUAUAACUUAGGAUAACUAGACUAUUUGUGGAUAGAUGAACACUCUUUAAGAAUUUUUCAUAAAUUUGUUGUAUUUUUAAAUAAUUUUCUAAAAAAUUGCUAUUUUUGGAAAGUUUUCAUUUUUUAAAGAAAUAUAGUAGAUUUGAGUUUGUGGUUUAAAAAUUA